GCCAGCGGAGAUAGAACGUUGAAUGCACCAGUUUCCUAUGGAUCACUGAAGCAACGUUGCGCAUGGUUGGUAUGCGGAUGGGUGACCAUCUGGGCAAUCGCGAGCAGCUGACU
rnacentral:rRNA from 1 species